UACGUAGGGUGCAAGCGUUGUCCGGAAUUAUUGGGCGUAAAGAGCUCGUAGGCGGCCUGUUGCGUCCGCUGUGAAAGCCCGGGGCUUUAACCCCGGGUCGGCAGUGGAUACGGGCAGGCUAGAGGUAGGUAGGGGAGAAUGGAAUUCCCGGUGUAGCGGUGAAAUGCGCAGAUAUCGGGAGGAACACCGGUGGCGAAGGCGGUUCUCUGGGCCUUACCUGACGCUGAGGAGCGAAAGCGUGGGGAGCGAACAGG
rnacentral:rRNA from 1 species